GUGGACCCCGGAGGGUCCGAACUGUCUCAGCGGAGAAAGGGGACAUAGUGUGCUGGCGGGCGCUGGCUGUUGGCGUUAGAGCUCCGGCUGUGGCUCAGUCUGGGGCGCGGUUCUUGCCAACACACCAUGUCCAGAGACAGCUGACAAAAAAACUAAAUUGAAACCAGCUCUGGAUGGGAUAACAACACAGGGUCAUACUUACUUUACGGCAGGCACGUUAUUCGCCUUCUUACUCGCACUUCCCGCUAUGGAUUCGCUCUUCAGGGGGCACUGAGACAUCCUACAGUGCCCUGGACGGCCCACCCCAACCAUGGUAUCCGUUGUCCAACAGUUUUGGAUACCCCAGAAUCGUCUCCCCGUUCCCCCUCUACAGCAUGGUGCACUACCCCUUCCUUACCUUAAUGAUCUACUCUUCCAUAGCGAAAUGAGAAUACUAAGCCAAGUGGAAUUUCAUUUCUACGUUAUAAAAGAAAAGUGCCUUUGUUGCGUCUGUCAGAUCGCCGGACUGGAAUGCUUCGACGACGGCUCCCCUGGAUAGCAAGACAAUUUGGUAGCGGAGGUGCCCUGGAUCUCCCUUUUUAUGUUCUUGCCAACCUGCAGGGACAACAUUAAACGACCAAAGGGUCUUUUAUUUAAAGUGUAUUCCUAGUGCCCUAGAAUGAGCUCACCCUACUUCCUAGGCUGUAUCGUCCGUUCAAUCACCGGACUGCAGAUAUGAAACCCAAUGUCUACCCUGUUUGCUGCCUAAGUUAUUCUGUUUUCUUUUUUUUUUUAUUUCUUAUAUUUUUAUUCCAGGAUGUGUGUCAAGCUAAGUUUCUCUGUGUAUCGUUCUAAGUAUUGAACAUAUAAAAAGGAGCAUACAUCGGCCUACCUUGGCACCUACGGGCUGCUGGUGCAAAAUUCCCUCGGGGACACUGGAGCAGAUGGCGGCGGUGGAACCAAUGAUGAAGCUGGAGAUGCUGAUGAGAUGAUGAUGUUGUUGAGGAUGGAAAUGUUGACGUUGCCGUGGAUGACGAUGGUUAAAAUUGCAGUAGAGGUGGGUAUUUAUUAUUUGACAAAAAGUUUUUGUUGUUCUGUUUAGUCUUUGCUAUGUUUUAUUCGUGGCUCAAAUUAACGUUCUUUUUCAAAGCUUUUUAUAUUUCACAGGAUCUUUUUUCUUUAGCAUUAAUUAGCACUAAUAAGUUUAUUUAGCUUUAAGUUGAUCUAAAGUAACUUCAGCUUUUUACUACAAAAGCUAGUCUUUAUUCCUUUCACAAAAAAAAGGAACAUUUAUUUGCUUUUAAAUAAAAAACUUUAUGCCUUUGGCAUCACAUA